CUACGGGGGGCUGCAGUGGGGAAUAUUGCACAAUGGGCGCAAGCCUGAUGCAGCCAUGCCGCGUGUAUGAAGAAGGCCUUCGGGUUGUAAAGUACCUUCAGCGGGGAGGAAGGGAGUAAAGUUAAUACCUUUGCUCAUUGACGUUACCCGCAGAAGAAGCACCGGCUAACUCCGUGCCAGCAGCCGCGGUAAUACGGAGGGUGCAAGCGUUAAUCGGACUUACUGGGCGUAAAGCGCACGCAGGCGGUUUGUUAAGUCAGAUGUGAAAUCCCCGGGCUCAACCUGGGAACUGCAUCUGAUACUGGCAAGCUUGAGUCUCGUAGAGGGGGGUAGAAUUCCAGGUGUAGCGGUGACAUGCGUAGAGAUAUGGAGGAAUACCGGUGGCGAAGGCGGCCCCCUGGACGAAGACUGACGCUCAGGUGCGAAAGCGUGGGGAGCAAACAGGAUUAGAUACCCCAGUAGUC
rnacentral:rRNA from 1 species